rnacentral:rRNA from 1 species
GAUGAACGCUGGCGGCGUGCCUAAUACAUGCAAGUCGAACGAACAGAUAAGGAGCUUGCUCCUUUGACGUUAGCGGCGGACGGGUGAGUAACACGUGGGUAACCUACCUAUAAGACUGGGAUAACUUCGGGAAACCGGAGCUAAUACCGGAUAAUAUUUCGAACCGCAUGGUUCGAUAGUGAAAGAUGGUUUUGCUAUCACUUAUAGAUGGACCCGCGCCGUAUUAGCUAGUUGGUAAGGUAACGGCUUACCAAGGCGACGAUACGUAGCCGACCUGAGAGGGUGAUCGGCCACACUGGAACUGAGACACGGUCCAGACUCCUACGGGAGGCAGCAGUAGGGAAUCUUCCGCAAUGGGCGAAAGCCUGACGGAGCAACGCCGCGUGAGUGAUGAAGGUCUUCGGAUCGUAAAACUCUGUUAUUAGGGAAGAACAUACGUGUAAGUAACUGUGCACGUCUUGACGGUACCUAAUCAGAAAGCCACGGCUAACUACGUG